GACGAACGCUGGCGGCGUGCUUAACACAUGCAAGUCGAACGGAAAGGCCCCAGCUUGCUGGGGUACUCGAGUGGCGAACGGGUGAGUAACACGUGGGUGAUCUGCCCUGCACUCUGGGAUAAGCCUGGGAAACUGGGUCUAAUACCGGAUAGGACCGUGCUUUAGUGUGUGCGGUGGAAAGUUUUUCGGUGCAGGAUGAGCCCGCGGCCUAUCAGCUUGUUGGUGGGGUAAUGGCCUACCAAGGCGGCGACGGGUAGCCGGCCUGAGGGGGUGUACGGCCACAUUGGGACUGAGACACGGCCCAGACUCCUACGGGAGGCAGCAGUGGGGAAUAUUGCACAAUGGGCGCAAGCCUGAUGCAGCGACGCCGCGUGGGGGAUGACGGCCUUCGGGUUGUAAACCCCUUUCGGCAGGGACGAAGCUUUUGUGACGGUACCUGCAUAAGAAGCACCGGCUAACUACGUG
rnacentral:rRNA from 1 species